rnacentral:lncRNA from 1 species
CACACUUUUUGUACAUUCUACAAAUGAGGAGGUCUUCCCCUGUUUAUAGGCAUCAACCUCCAUGUUCUACGACAUUCUAGAAUAUUCCAUACAAGUAUCCUAAAUAAUAUUCAUAUCUACCUAUUCUCAUAUGUUCUAGAAUAUUCCACUACUCUAGAAUAUUCUCACAUUCUCUACUAUACAUAAAAGAGUUUCUAUCAUCUUN